rnacentral:rRNA from 1 species
GAUGAACGCUGGCGGCGUGCCUAAUACAUGCAAGUCGAGCGAACAGACGAGGAGCUUGCUCCUCUGACGUUAGCGGCGGACGGGUGAGUAACACGUGGAUAACCUACCUAUAAGACUGGGAUAACUUCGGGAAACCGGAGCUAAUACCGGAUAACAUGUUGAACCGCAUGGUUCAACAGUGAAAGACGGUCUUGCUGUCACUUAUAGAUGGAUCCGCGCCGCAUUAGCUAGUUUGUAAGGUAACGGCUUACCAAGGCAACGAUGCGUAGCCGACCUGAGAGGGUGAUCGGCCACACUGGAACUGAGACACGGUCCAGACUCCUACGGGAGGCAGCAGUAGGGAAUCUUCCGAAAUGGGCGAAAGCCUGACGGAGCAACGCCGCGUGAGUGAAGAAGGUCUUCGGAUCGUAAAACUCUGUUAUUAGGGAAGAACAAAUGAGUAAGUAACUAUGCACGUAUUGACGGUACCUAAUCAGAAAGCCACGGCUAACUACGUG